rnacentral:rRNA from 1 species
AGCGAACGCUGGCGGCAGGCUUAACACAUGCAAGUCGAACGGGCGUAGCAAUACGUCAGUGGCAGACGGGUGAGUAACACGUGGGAACGUACCUUUUGGUUCGGAACAACUGAGGGAAACUUCAGCUAAUACCGGAUAAGCCCUAACGGGGAAAGAUUUAUCGCCGAAAGAUCGGCCCGCGUCUGAUUAGCUAGUUGGUGGGGUAAUGGCCCACCAAGGCGACGAUCAGUAGCUGGUCUGAGAGGAUGAUCAGCCACAUUGGGACUGAGACACGGCCCAAACUCCUACGGGAGGCAGCAGUGGGGAAUAUUGGACAAUGGGGGCAACCCUGAUCCAGCCAUGCCGCGUGAGUGAUGAAGGCCCUAGGGUUGUAAGCUCUUUUGUGCGGGAAGAUAAUGACGGUACCGCAAGAAUAAGCCCCGGCUAACUUCGUGCCAGCAGCCGCAGUAACAC